rnacentral:rRNA from 1 species
UGCAGUCGAGCGGACAGAAGGGAGCUUGCUCCCGGAUGUUAGCGGCGGACGGGUGAGUAACACGUGGGUAACCUGCCUGUAAGACUGGGAUAACUCCGGGAAACCGGAGCUAAUACCGGAUAGUUCCUUGAACCGCAUGGUUCAAGGAUGAAAGACGGUUUCGGCUGUCACUUACAGAUGGACCCGCGGCGCAUUAGCUAGUUGGUGGGGUAAUGGCUCACCAAGGCGACGAUGCGUAGCCGACCUGAGAGGGUGAUCGGCCACACUGGGACUGAGACACGGCCCAGACUCCUACGGGAGGCAGCAGUAGGGAAUCUUCCGCAAUGGACGAAAGUCUGACGGAGCAACGCCGCGUGAGUGAUGAAGGUUUUCGGAUCGUAAAGCUCUGUUGUUAGGGAAGAACAAGUGCGAGAGUAACUGCUCGCACCUUGACGGUACCUAACCAGAAAGCCACGGCUAACUACGUGCCAGCAGCCGCGGUAAUACGUAGGUGGCAAGCGUUGUCCGGAAUUAUUGGGCGUAAAGGGCUCGCAGGCGGUUUCUUAAGUCUGAUGUGAAAGCCCCCGGCUCAACCGGGGAGGGUCAUUGGAAACUGGGAAACUUGAGUGCAGAAGAGGAGAGUGGAAUUCCACGUGUAGCGGUGAAAUGCGUAGAGAUGUGGAGGAACACCAGUGGCGAAGGCGACUCUCUGGUCUGUAACUGACGCUGAGGAGCGAAAGCGUGGGGAGCGAACAGGAUUAGAUACCCUGGUAGUCCACGCCGUAAACGAUGAGUGCUAAGUGUUAGGGGGUUUCCGCCCCUUAGUGCUGCAGCUAACGCAUUAAGCACUCCGCCUGGGGAGUACGGU